rnacentral:rRNA from 1 species
ACGCUGGCGGCGUGCCUAAUACAUGCAAGUAGGGCGCACAGUCUAUACCGUAGCUUGCUACACCAUAGACUGUGAGUUGCGAACGGGUGAGUAACGCGUAGGUAACCUGCCUAUUAGAGGGGGAUAACUAUUGGAAACGAUAGCUAAUACCGCAUAACAGUAUGUAACACAUGUUAGAUGCUUGAAAGAUGCAAUUGCAUCGCUAGUAGAUGGACCUGCGUUGUAUUAGCUAGUAGGUAGGGUAAUGGCCUACCUAGGCGACGAUACAUAGCCGACCUGAGAGGGUGAUCGGCCACACUGGGACUGAGACACGGCCCAGACUCCUACGGGAGGCAGCAGUAGGGAAUCUUCGGCAAUGGGGGGAACCCUGACCGAGCAACGCCGCGUGAGUGAAGAAGGUUUUCGGAUCGUAAAGCUCUGUUGUUAAGGAAGAACGAGUGUGAGAAUGGAAAGUUCAUACUGUGACGGUACUUAACCAGAAAGGGACGGCUAACUACGUGCCAGCAGCCGCGGUAAUACGUAGGUCCCGAGCGUUGUCCGGAUUUAUUGGGCGUAAAGCGAGCGCAGGCGGUUAGAAAAGUCUGAAGUGAAAGGCAGUGGCUCAACCAUUGUAGGCUUUGGAAACUGUUUAACUUGAGUGCAGAAGGGGAGAGUGGAAUUCCAUGUGUAGCGGUGAAAUGCGUAGAUAUAUGGAGGAACACCGGUGGCGAAAGCGGCUCUCUGGUCUGUAACUGACGCUGAGGCUCGAAAGCGUGGGGAGCGAACAGGAUUAGAUACCCUGGUAGUCCACGCCGUAAACGAUGAGUGCUAGGUGUUGGGUCCUUUCCGGGACUCAGUGCCGCAGCUAACGCAUUAAGCACUCCGCCUGGGGAGUACGACCGCAAGGUUGAAACUCAAAGGAAUUGACGGG